rnacentral:rRNA from 1 species
AGAAUUAACGCUGGCGGCGUGCCUAACACAUGCAAGUCGAACGAGAAAGUGGAGCAAUCCAUGAGUAAAGUGGCGCACGGGUGAGUAACACGUGACUAACCUACCCUUGAGUGGGGGAUAACCUAGGGAAACCUGGGCUAAUACCGCAUAAUACCUUCGGGUCAAAGGAGCAAUUCGCUUAAGGAGGGGGUCGCGGCCGAUUAGUUAGUUGGCGGGGUAAUGGCCCACCAAGACUAUGAUCGGUAUCC